rnacentral:rRNA from 1 species
AAUAGAUACCCUGGUAGUCCACGCCGUAAACGAUGAGUGCUAAGUGUUAGAGGGUUUCCGCCCUUUAGUGCUGCAGCUAACGCAUUAAGCACUCCGCCUGGGGAGUACGGCCGCAAGGCUGAAACUCAAAGGAAUUGACGGGGGCCCGCACAAGCGGUGGAGCAUGUGGUUUAAUUCGAAGCAACGCGAAGAACCUUACCAGGUCUUGACAUCCUCUGCCAACCCUAGAGAUAGGGCGUUCCCCUUCGGGGGACAGAGUGACAGGUGGUGCAUGGUUGUCGUCAGCUCGUGUCGUGAGAUGUUGGGUUAAGUCCCGCAACGAGCGCAACCCUUGAUCUUAGUUGCCAGCAUUCAGUUGGGCACUCUAAGGUGACUGCCGGUGACAAACCGGAGGAAGGUGGGGAUGACGUCAAAUCAUCAUGCCCCUUAUGACCUGGGCUACACACGUGCUACAAUGGAUGGUACAAAGAGCUGCGAACCCGUGAGGGUAAGCGAAUCUCAUAAAGCCAUUCUCAGUUCGGAUUGUAGG